rnacentral:rRNA from 1 species
UUCCGGUUGAUCCUGCCGGCGGUCACCGCUAUUGGGGUUCGAUUAAGACAUGCGAGUCGCGAGGGUUCGGCCCUCGGCGGACUGCUCAGUAACACGUGGAUAACCUGCCCUCAGGUGGGGGAUAAUCUCGGGAAACUGAGGAUAAUACCCCAUAGGCCAUUGAUGCUGGAAUGCUCUCUGGCCGAAAGCUCCGGCGCCUGAGGAUGGAUCUGCGGCCUAUCAGGUAGUAGUUGGGGUAACGGCCCAACUAGCCUGCGACGGGUACGGGCCUUGAGAGAGGAAGCCCGGAGAUGGACUCUGAGACACUAGUCCAGGCCCUACGGGGCGCAGCAGUCGCGAAACCUUCACACUGCGGGAACCCGUGAUGAGGGAACCCCAAGUGCCUGGGCAUUAGCUCAGGCUGUUCACCUGUCUAAAAAACGGGUGAAGUAAGGGCUGGGUAAGACCGGUGCCAGCCGCCGCGGUAAUACCGGCAGCCCAAGUGGUGACCAUUUUUAUUGAGCCUAAAACGUCCGUAGCCGGUCCGGCAAAUCUCUGGGCAAAUCGGGCAGCUUAACUGUUCGAAUUCCAGAGAGACUACCGGACUAGGGACCGGGAGAGGCCAGAGGUACGUCGGGGGUAGGGGUAAAAUCCUUUAAUCCUCGACGGACCACCGGUGGCGAAGGCGUCUGGCUAGAACGGAUCCGACGGUAAGGGACGAAGGCUAGGGGCGCAAACCGGAUUAGAUACCCGGGUAGUCCUAGCUGUAAACGCUGCAGGCUUGGUGUUGGAGCUCCUUCGAGGGGUUUCAGUGCCGUAUCGAAGGUGUUAAGCCUGCUGACUUGGGGAGUACGGUCAGCAAGACUGAAACUUAAAGGAAUUGGCGGGAACACAGCAACGGGAGGAGCGUGCGGUUUAAUUGGAUUCAACCGCCGGAAAACUCACCAGGAGCGACUGUUACAUGAAGGCCAGGCUGAUGACCUUGCCUGAUUUUCAGAGAGGUGGUGCAUGGCCGCCGUCAGUUCGUACCGUGAGGCGUUCUCUUAAGUGAGAUAACGAACGAGACCCUCGCCCCUAUUUGCUACCCUUCUCUUCGGAGAUGGGGCACUAUAGGGGGACCGCUGGCGCUAAGUCAGAGGAAGGAGAGUCAACGGUAGGUCAGUAUGCCCCCGAAUUUUCUUGGGUUAACGCGCGUACAAAGGACGGGACAAUGGCUGCGACGCCGAGAGGCGAAGCCAAUCCCGAAACCCGUUCGUAGUCCGGACUGAGGGUUGUAACUCACCCUCACGAAGCUGGAUUCCGUAGUAAUCGCGGAUCAACAUCCCGCGGUGAAUGUGCACCUGCUCUUUGCACACACCGCCCGUCAAACCA